GAUGAACGCUGGCGGCGUGCCUAAUACAUGCAAGUCGAGCGAACAGACGAGGAGCUUGCUCCUCUGACGUUAGCGGCGGACGGGUGAGUAACACGUGGAUAACCUACCUAUAAGACUGGGAGAACUUCGGGAAACCGGAGCUAAUACCGGAUAAUAUAUUGAACCGCAUGGAUCAAUAGUGAAAGACGGUUUUGCUGUCACUUAUAGACGGAUCCGCGCCGCAUUAGCUAGUUGGUAAGGUAACGGCUUACCAAGGCGACGAUGCGUAGCCGACCUGAGAGGGUGAUCGGCCACACUGGAACUGAGACACGGUCCAGACUCCUACGGGAGGCAGCAGUAGGGAAUCUUCCGCAAUGGGCGAAAGCCUGACGGAGCAACGCCGCGUGAGUGAUGAAGGUCUUCGGAUCGUAAAACUCUGUUAUUAGGGAAGAACAAAUGUGUAAGUAACUAUGCACGUCUUGACGGUACCUAAUCAGAAAGCCACGGCUAACUACGUG
rnacentral:rRNA from 1 species